UCCAGCUCCAAUAGCGUAUAUUAAAGUUGUUGCAGUUAAAAAGCUCGUAGUUGGAUAUCUGGUGGGAGCAAUGGGUCUCGCGCUUAGCGCGGGUACUUCAAUUCACUCCGGCCAUCCUUGGGGAGAGCCCGUCUGGCAUUAGGUUGUCGGGCGGGGGAUCCCCAUCGUUUACUGUGAAAAAAUUAGAGUGUUCAAAGCAGGCUUAUGCCGCUGAAUAUAUUAGCAUGGAAUAAUAGGAUAGGACUUUGGUACUAUUUUGUUGGUUUGUGCACCAAAGUAAUGAUUAAUAGGAACAGUCGGGGGUAUUCAUAUUCCAUUGUCAGAGGUGAAAUUCUUGGAUU
rnacentral:rRNA from 1 species